AUUUCGAUUUAGCGCCACAUUACAUUUAAUGCCAAUUUCAUAAGCAAAUGAUUGGUGGUAAAUCGAAAUUUGACUGUAUAUUAACUUAAUACAUGUGUUCUACAUAUAAUAUCUUCUAUCUUCGAAUAAAAUAUAAGUAUGAGAAUUAUGCAUUCGAUCAUACGAACAAGGGAGGAUAAAUUGAUUCUACGAGCAAUAAAAAGGUUUAGAAGAUAAGGAAACAGAUGGAAAGGGUCUCUCGAGGAUUAGCAACCAUCAUCUGCUCGUCCCAAUGGAUUGUCAGGACAACCAGCACCAUCUGCUCAUCUUAUUUGCUUCUGUCCUGAUCGCCAAUUUUGUGACCCUAAUGUUGUUCCAUGAAAAAAGUAGAAGAGGAAAAUAAAAAACAGGAAGAGUAAAGUUCGAGUCUUGUCUAUUCCCAAGUGUCUUGCCACCAAGAACUCACGACACAUGAAAGAUAACUUCUUCACAUGUCUAGAUACAACUUUCUUUUUAUAAUCUAUCACAAGAUGCUACUAAAUUAGAUACGUUUUAUUUUAAUUAAGCGAUUUCAUUUUAUAUAAUG